UACGGGGGGGGCAAGCGUUGUUCGGAAUUACUGGGCGUAAAGGGCUCGUAGGCGGCCAACUAAGUCAGACGUGAAAUCCCUCGGCUUAACCGGGGAACUGCGUCUGAUACUGGAUGGCUUGAGUUUGGGAGAGGGAUGCGGAAUUCCAGGUGUAGCGGUGAAAUGCGUAGACAUCUGGAGGAACACCGGUGGCGAAGGCGGCAUCCGGGGCCAACACUGACGCUGAGUGAGCGAAAGCCAGGGGAGCAAACGGG
rnacentral:rRNA from 1 species